rnacentral:lncRNA from 1 species
AACAUCUCUCGAUGAAUGGGAAGAAAGAAACCACGACCAAACAUCAUCGGAUGAAUGGGAAGAAAGAAACCACGACCAGACAUCUCUCGAUGAAUGGGAAGAAAUAAACCACGACUAGACAUCUCUCGAUGAAUGGGAAGAAAGAAACCACGACGAGACAUCAACGGAUGAAUGGGAAGAAAGAAACCACGACCAGACAUCUCUCGAUGAAUGGGAAGAAAGAAACCACGACCAGACAUCAACGGAUGAAUGGGAAGAAAGAAACCAUGACUAGACAUCUCUCGAUGAAUGGGAAGAAAGAAACCACGACCAGACAUCUCUCGAUGAAUGGGAAGAAAAUGGGAAGAAAGAAACCACGACCAGACAUCUCUCGAUGAAUCGGAAGAAAGAAACCACGACCAGAAAUCAACAGAUGAAUGGGAAGAAAGAAACCACGACCAGACAUCUCUCGAUGAAUGGGAAGAAAGAAACCAUGACCAGACAUCAACGGAUGAAUGGGAAGAAAGAAACCACAACCAGACAUCUCUCGAUGAAUGGGAAGAAAGAAACCACGACCAGACAUCAACGGAUGAAUGGGAAGAAAGAAACCACGACCAGACAUCUCUCGAUGAAUGGGAAGAAAGAAACCACGACCAGACAUCUCUCGAUGAAUGGGAAGAAAGAAACCACGACCAGACAUCAACGGAUGAAUGGGAAGAAAGAAACCACGACCAGACAUCUCUCGAUGAAUGGGAAGAAAGAAACCACGACCAGACAUCUCUCGAUGAAUGGGAAGAAAGAAACCACGACCAGACAUCUCUCGAUGAAUGGGAAGAAAGAAACCACGACCAGACAUCUCUCGAUGAAUGGGAAGAAAGAAACCACGACCAGACAUCUCUCGAUGAAUGGGAAGAAAGAAACCACGACCAGACAUCAACGGAUGAAUGGGAAGAAAGAAACCACGACCAGACAUCUCUCGGAUGAAUGGGAAGAAAGAAACCACGACCAGGCAUCUCUCGAUGAAUGGGAAGAUAGAAACCACGACCAGACAUCAACGAAUGAAUGGGAAGAAAGAAACCAUGACCAGACAUCUCUCGAUGAAUGGGAAGAAAGAUACCACAACCAGACAUCUCUCGAUGAAUGGGAAGAAAGAAACCACGACCAGACAUCUCUCGGAUGAAUGGGAAGAAAAAAACCACAACCAGACAUCUCUCGAUGAACGGGAAGAAAGAAACCACGACCAGACAUCAACGGAUGAAUGGGAAGAGAGAAACCACGACCAGACAUCUCUCGGAUGAAUGGGAUGAAAGAAACCACGACCAGACAUCUCUCGAUGAAUGGGAAGAAAGUAACCACAACCAGACAUCAACAGAAGAAUGGGAAGAAAGCAACCACGACCAGACAUCUCUCGAUGAAUGGGAAGAAAGAAACCACGACCAGACAUCUCUCGGAUGAAUGGGAAGAAAGAAACCACGACCAGACAUCAACAGAUGAAUGGGAAGAAAGAAACCACGACCAGACAUCUCUCGAUGAAUGGGAAGAAAGAAACCACGACCAGACAUCAACGGAUGAAUGGGAAGAAAGAAACCACGACCAGACAUCUCUCGAUGAAUGGGAAGAAAGAAACCACGACCAGACAUCAACGGAUGAAUGGGAAGAAAGAAACCACGACCAGACAUCUCUCGAUGAAUGGGAAGAAAGAAACCACGACCAGACAUCAACGGAUGAAUGGGAAGAAAGAAACCACGACCAGACAUCUCUCGAUGAAUGGGAAGAAAGAAACCACGACCAGACAUCAACGGAUGAAUGGGAAGAAAGAAACCACGACCAGACAUCUCUCGAUGAAUGGGAAGAAAGAAACCACGACCAGACAUCAACGGAUGAAUGGGAAGAAAGAAACCACGACCAGACAUCUCUCGAUGAAUGGGAAGAAAGAAACCACGACCAGACAUCAACGGAUGAAUGGGAAGAAAGAAACCACGACCAGACAUCUCUCGAUGAAUGGGAAGAAAGAAACCACGACCAGACAUCAACGGAUGAAUGGGAAGAAAGAAACCACGACCAGACAUCUCUCGAUGAAUGGGAAGAAAGAAACCACGACCAGACAUCAACGGAUGAAUGGGAAGAAAGAAACCACGACCAGACAUCUCUCGAUGAAUGGGAAGAAAGAAACCACGACCAGACAUCAACGGAUGAAUGGGAAGAAAGAAACCACGACCAGACAUCUCUCGAUGAAUGGGAAGAAAGAAACCACGACCAGACAUCAACGGAUGAAUGGGAAGAAAGAAACCACGACCAGACAUCUCUCGAUGAAUGGGAAGAAAGAAACCACGACCAGACAUCAACGGAUGAAUGGGAAGAAAGAAACCACGACCAGACAUCUCUCGAUGAAUGGGAAGAAAGAAACCACGACCAGACAUCAACGGAUGAAUGGGAAGAAAGAAACCACGACCAGACAUCUCUCGAUGAAUGGGAAGAAAGAAACCACGACCAGACAUCAACGGAUGAAUGGGAAGAAAGAAACCACGACCAGACAUCUCUCGAUGAAUGGGAAGAAAGAAACCACGACCAGACAUCAACGGAUGAAUGGGAAGAAAGAAACCACGACCAGACAUCUCUCGAUGAAUGGGAAGAAAGAAACCACGACCAGACAUCAACGGAUGAAUGGGAAGAAAGAAACCACGACCAGACAUCUCUCGAUGAAUGGGAAGAAAGAAACCACGACCAGACAUCAACGGAUGAAUGGGAAGAAAGAAACCACGACCAGACAUCUCUCGAUGAAUGGGAAGAAAGAAACCACGACCAGACAUCAACGGAUGAAUGGGAAGAAAGAAACCACGACCAGACAUCUCUCGAUGAAUGGGAAGAAAGAAACCACGACCAGACAUCAACGGAUGAAUGGGAAGAAAGAAACCACGACCAGACAUCUCUCGAUGAAUGGGAAGAAAGAAACCACGACCAGACAUCAACGGAUGAAUGGGAAGAAAGAAACCACGACCAGACAUCUCUCGAUGAAUGGGAAGAAAGAAACCACGACCAGACAUCAACGGAUGAAUGGGAAGAAAGAAACCACGACCAGACAUCUCUCGAUGAAUGGGAAGAAAGAAACCACGACCAGACAUCAACGGAUGAAUGGGAAGAAAGAAACCACGACCAGACAUCUCUCGAUGAAUGGGAAGAAAGAAACCACGACCAGACAUCAACGGAUGAAUGGGAAGAAAGAAACCACGACCAGACAUCUCUCGAUGAAUGGGAAGAAAGAAACCACGACCAGACAUCAACGGAUGAAUGGGAAGAAAGAAACCACGACCAGACAUCUCUCGAUGAAUGGGAAGAAAGAAACCACGACCAGACAUCAACGGAUGAAUGGGAAGAAAGAAACCACGACCAGACAUCUCUCGAUGAAUGGGAAGAAAGAAACCACGACCAGACAUCAACGGAUGAAUGGGAAGAAAGAAACCACGACCAGACAUCUCUCGAUGAAUGGGAAGAAAGAAACCACGACCAGACAUCAACGGAUGAAUGGGAAGAAAGAAACCACGACCAGACAUCUCUCGAUGAAUGGGAAGAAAGAAACCACGACCAGACAUCAACGGAUGAAUGGGAAGAAAGAAACCACGACCAGACAUCUCUCGAUGAAUGGGAAGAAAGAAACCACGACCAGACAUCAACGGAUGAAUGGGAAGAAAGAAACCACGACCAGACAUCUCUCGAUGAAUGGGAAGAAAGAAACCACGACCAGACAUCAACGGAUGAAUGGGAAGAAAGAAACCACGACCAGACAUCUCUCGAUGAAUGGGAAGAAAGAAACCACGACCAGACAUCAACGGAUGAAUGGGAAGAAAGAAACCACGACCAGACAUCUCUCGAUGAAUGGGAAGAAAGAAACCACGACCAGACAUCAACGGAUGAAUGGGAAGAAAGAAACCACGACCAGACAUCUCUCGAUGAAUGGGAAGAAAGAAACCACGACCAGACAUCAACGGAUGAAUGGGAAGAAAGAAACCACGACCAGACAUCUCUCGAUGAAUGGGAAGAAAGAAACCACGACCAGACAUCAACGGAUGAAUGGGAAGAAAGAAACCACGACCAGACAUCUCUCGAUGAAUGGGAAGAAAGAAACCACGACCAGACAUCAACGGAUGAAUGGGAAGAAAGAAACCACGACCAGACAUCUCUCGAUGAAUGGGAAGAAAGAAACCACGACCAGACAUCAACGGAUGAAUGGGAAGAAAGAAACCACGACCAGACAUCUCUCGAUGAAUGGGAAGAAAGAAACCACGACCAGACAUCAACGGAUGAAUGGGAAGAAAGAAACCACGACCAGACAUCUCUCGACGAAUGGGAAGAAAGAAACCACGACCAGACAUCUCUCGAUGAAUGGGAAGAAAGAAACCACGACCAGACAUCAACGGAUGAAUGGGAAGAAACAAACCACGACCAGGCAUCUCUCGAUGAAUGGGAAGAAAGAAACCACGACGAGACAUCUCUCGAUGAAUGGGAAGAAAGAAACCAUGACCAAACAUCUCUCGGAUGAAUGGGAAGAAAGAAACCACGACCAGACACCAACGGAUGAAUGGGAAGAAAGAAACCACAACCAGACAUCUCUCGGAUGAAUGGGAAGUAAGAAACCACGACCAGACAUCUCUCGAUGAAUGGGAAGAAAGAAACCACGACCAGACAUCAACGGAUGAAUGGGAAGAAAGAAGCCACGACCAGACAUCUCUCGAUGAAUGGGAAGAAAGAAACCACGACCAGACAUCUCUCGAUGAAUGGGAAGAAAGAAACCACGACCAGACAUCUCUCGAUGAAUGGGAAGAAAGAAACCACGACCAGACAUCUCUCGGAUGAAUGGGAAGAAAGAAACCACGACCAGACAUCUCUCGAUGAAUGGGAAGAAAGAAACCACGACCAGACAUCUCUCGAUGAAUGGGAAGAAAGAAACCACGACCAG